rnacentral:lncRNA from 1 species
AUGGCUGGGGGCGGGGGGCAGGCAAGUUUAGAUAAUGCUUCCUCUUUGCACACAGUGGUACCGCAGCCUGCGCUGCCCCGGCUGUUGGCAGCCCCGGGACAAGCUGCAGAGGGCCCUAUCCUGCCCGCUUUGAAGUUAAUGGCCAAGCUCCCUUUGAUUGCGGCAGGAACAAGCCCGGGCCUGAAGAACAGGUGCUGGAGUCGGAGUCGCAGCGCAGAGCGGGCUCAUCAGCAAUCAGCGCUGGUUUUAUGCAAAUGCUGCCAAAUGAGGAGAAUUGUCUUGCCAGCUGAUACAACCAGAACAAAGCCCCGAGCACCAGCAGAGGGUAACGUAUGCAAUUUCAGGGCUAAGAAGUCCAGGGAGAGAUUUAAUAGCAGUUGGCGUUUUACAAAGGAAAUAGCUAUUCCUGCGCGGGGAUGAUUAGAGGUAUAUAUUAAAGCGGGGGUUUUUAGGAGCGUGCUGGCUGGCGCUCCCCACUUCUGGGUGACCUUGGUCAAGUUGUUUCACCUUGCUCCUGCUCGGCUUUCUGCUGAGCUCCUUCCUCAGCGGGAUAAUUCUCCCUGCUUCACAGAUGGGAAGUGGCAGCGUUUGUUGAUAUUUGUGGGCAGUUUGACUUUCCCUAGCACGAUAUAUUAGAGGACGGGGAGGAGAAUUGAGGUCCGACGGGGAUCCUGGCCCGGCAGGGGAUGCAGGACACACAAGGGCUGCGUCCACCUGUGCCAGUUGCUGCUGCGGUGAGGAGGAUGCAGAAAAUGUCAAGGAGGAAGCAGCAGGAGCCACACACCAUUGGUGCUGGAGGAUUUGGGGCUGUUUAGUCUGGAGAGGUCAGAGACUUCAGAUACAUGAAAUGAGGCUGGAAAGGAGAGGGAGUAGAUUGUCCUGUCCGUUAUGGACCUGUAAAUAAUGGGCUCAGGUGGCAGCAGGGGAAAGCCAGGUUAGACACUGGGAAAAGCCUUGUAGCGGGGUGCUAGCACAGCCCAGGGACAGGUCUGCACCCGGGAAUGAGCCAGGAAGAGGGAAUUAGGUGGGACUAAACCAGGCUGGGACUUCAGCUUUGCAGCCACCGGGGCUGGGUCCUAGGGAUGGCUCAGGGCAGCGGAGGAGCUCCGCUGGUGUGCAAUGGAUGGAUGGAUGGAUGGAUGGAUGGAUGGAUGGAUGGAUGGAUGGAGCCAAACCCGAGCCCGGCUCCCAGCACUGCCCCUGUUUUCUGCAUGCAAACCAAAGGCAGGGCUCCCGGAAGCCGCAGCACAUGCCUGAGCACAGGGCUGGAGGCAGCUGCCCGCCCGGCCCACGGUUAGGCACAAGUGGGUAAUACCAUAUGUUUCCUUCCCCUGUAAUUUUAUGGCUGAAGGUAUUUGAUCAGCCCGGUUAUUCGCUCACCAUCUGUCCCCUGCACAAAUACAGCUGAUUCUCGUUACAGCUCUCUGAUGGCGAGUGCCCUUCCCCGGCGCGGCAGGAGCGCGCUCAGGGUAACCGCGCUCCGGCCAUUUCGGAGAACGCCGCUCGCUUGGAGAGCCGGGGCUGUCACGCAUGCACAUGAAUGGCAGCCGAUGUCUGUGCUGAUUACAGUGGGAGGAUAUUUAAAGCCCAUUCUGCAAAUCAGUGCCUUGGAUACUAAUAUAAGUAACUUUAAAAAAAACACACAGAGAGAAAGGAAAGCGAGGAGAUAAAAACCCCGUCAUUUACAUUUCUAAGGAAUAUGAAAUUGUGCUUUUGAAAAAAAGCAAUUUGUAAACUUUAGAUAGCAGCAAAUUCCUUGUUUUUUGGAUACAAUACCAGCUUUGCAUAUGCACUGAAAGAAAGAGGGAGAGAAAAUAACCCUGAAGCAUCCUGCCCACUGCAUUAGCUUUUAAAAUAAAACCCAUUUAUAUAUAAAUGUUGGCUUUUUU